rnacentral:rRNA from 1 species
UACGAAGGGGGCUAGCGUUGCUCGGAAUCACUGGGCGUAAAGGGUGCGUAGGCGGGUCUUUAAGUCAGGGGUGAAAUCCUGGAGCUCAACUCCAGAACUGCCUUUGAUACUGAGGAUCUUGAGUUCGGGGGAGGUGAGUGGAACUGCGAGUGUAGAGGUGAAAUUCGUAGAUAUUCGCAAGAACACCAGUGGCGAAGGCGGCUCACUGGCCCGAUACUGACGCUGAGGCACGAAAGCGUGGGGAGCAAACAGG